ACGAAGUAAUCCUUAUUCACGACAAUGUUAGCCCGUACGUGGAAAAGGUUGUGAAAGUUGCUCUGCCAGAGCCUAGGUAGGAGUAGUGACUGUCCUAAUCCGUCGAGCUUAAAAUAUUUACUCGCGCUUGUUGGCUGAAGUUGUCUUGUAAUAGUGGAUAAAUGACUUAUCACCUCGAAGGAUCGGCUGAGGAGUUCCGCUGCUGGGUAAUAAUGAUUUGGCAGGGACGUUUGUUAGAAAUUGAAAGCGUGAAACUUUCUUGUUAUGACGUCGCACGUUAACGUCGGGAUUCCUAUUGCUUUCGUCGGCUGUGACGUGAAGACCUCCGUGACAAAAUUGCCAUUUCAGUAUACCUUUAUAUAUGCCUUUACCAAUUCCCAUUGCGGACUAACGCGUUUGUUUACUUUCAACUGUAAGAUAACGAAUUUCUCGAGGCAAUGAAAACAAGAAAUCAACGGGCAAGACCGAUUAAGGGGAUUACACUAAGCCAGUCGCGCUACGUAAUUUGCCUUUCUAGACGAGUAACUAUUACGUUCGCUUGUGUUUUACCCAUAGUCGGUCAAUUAAUGGUUGGUAACGUGAACAGAUACUGUAGAAAAUCAUUGAAGAAUGGCGCCAUCGUUUAACUGUAGACUGAAGGAUUGGGUUAAACUUGACCAUGUAGACGGUCAUCGGCUCAACCGGCAUUACUGUGGCGCAAAGAGGUUCCAAUGUGACAAACGACAACGGGAAAACUACACGUCGUGAAGUUUCUUAAUUUCUUGGAUAGAGCCACGUUUAACGACGUAAAGUUAGUCGCCAUACGCGUACAUACGAAGUGUCCCAAGUCGAUCGGUCAUCCGUAUAUUUUAGACCAGCUGAUAUCUUUGAGGGGGCAUGCGCCAUCGAGUGAAGUCGUCUACUUUGUAAUUGAUGACAGUGACAACCCGCGUGACAGUCUCAACAAGCUUACAUGAAGCUAAAAAUUCACCCAGAAAGUUCCUAAUGCUAAGAGAGGGACUUACGGGACCCCAGAUGAGAAGAAGGUUUCUGCUAGAAACGAUGGCCAAGAGAACAGAGCAAGACGAAGUUCUUCGCAGGAACAGUGUAUCUAUAGGGGUCUUGUUUGGCAAAGUACAGUUAGAACAACGCAAAUCCCAGCAGUGGAGCCCAAAAGUCGACAUGAUUUAUACGCCGCUAUGGUUAACAUUCUAAUGACGAGGCACGCCUACCUGUGGUAGUCUUUUUUAGAAAUUUUAUAGAAUAUCCUAGGUAUUCGUAUAUGUAUAUGAGUACAAAUUACCGUGUCGUUUGUACUCAAAGUGGCUAACAGAAGAUGCAAAAAAGAGAGUGAGAUGGGCUAGGACCAACCCGAAAUAAUCACAUCUGGCUUCGACUUGCGUAUAUUACUUAACUAAAAAACUGACCUUGCUUUUAUUUUUUAGUAUUCACGCUCGUAAGACAUGUGUUCUGUUGAAUUAGUUGAGUCUAUUCUGAGCUAAACUUUUUCCUAGUGUUUGAAACACGAUUGGUGAUUACCCUCCCAUUUAGAUCUGUACAAGCACCUAGCGGUUUUCCGUCUAUCCACCGUCGACUGGCACAGGUUACUUUGCACCGUCGAGUUACUAGGGAAAUUGUCUACCUUAUUGAUCUUUAAGCGUUAAGAAUCCUAAGAGUUUGCUUUAUAAAACAGCUGGUUUUUACAAUCGUAUCUCGUCACGCAGCUGCGAUCGAAACAUUUUGAGGCAAAAACGCAAAAGGUAUAUAUCUACCAAUAGCAGGAGUUAGGCAGUCCGUAAAGUAGUCCUUACUGUUACUACCAAACAGUAAUUAUACAUUAGUUAGGGGGCUUACCACGACAUUUUGGCAAACCUUGGCGCUCACUUUUUAAAUUAUUGGCUAAAUUAUUGGCGGUAAAUAAAAUUCGGCGAGCCGCGGAGUCUCAAAAUUACAAAAUUUAAAAUACAUACAGAAAAUGACGACUACUCCAUAGAAGUUAUUUGGUUUGGAUCACGUAAACACGAUAAUAAUUAUGAUACAGGGAAUAAAAUAAAAUUGAGCCAUUUUUUAAUAAACUAAAUGUAUGACGACCGAGUUCAAUCAAGGAACCAUUUCGAAUCUACACGGUUUGCUUACAACGGCAUCUGUUGCGACCCAUGACAUCAUUUCACUCGUAUAGCUUGUAAUACGUACGUAGAUCACCGUCAAAAUUUGUGUCGCUUUGACAAAUACCAAAACUGCUGAUUUAGUGGUCACCAUACGGUUAGAUCUCUACAUACGGAGGCCCGUAUGACCUGGUUUAUAAAAUAGCUUGGUAAAAGCUACAAGAUACAUUUUGUGGACAAGUCAUGAAGAGAGAAGAUCAAUGUUAGAUGAGGCCGGCAAUUGCAGAUACCUUAAGGCAUAUUAUCGGCCAGUUGACACGGAGAACCAUCACUGGAAGUUCUGAUAGCUUUUUUACUCUUAACCAAGCGCUCGUGCAGAGCGACAGCUUAA